GAAGCCAGUCGGAUGGUUACUUUAAAAGCAUUCCUUUUGAAGAGGAAAGUCCGAACACCCCCUAUUUGACAGGGAAGUAGAGAGCCGCUAACGGCGGCCAGGAGUAGUCUGAAUUUCAGACGAAGCCUAGGGAAAGUGCAACAGAAAAUACACCGCCGAUGGACUCGCAAAGAGUCACAGGUAAGGUUGAAAUCGUGUGGUAAGAGCGCACGCAUGUCUUACAGUGAUGUAGGAUUGUGGUAAACCCUCUCUGGUGCAAGAUGAAGUAGGGUUCCGCGUUUGCGGAGCCGGGUUCGUCGCUUGAGGCAAUUAGCAAUAGUUGCCCUAGAUAGAUGGCCAUCACCCAAGGUUAUACUUGGGUCCAGAAUUCGGCUUACAGGCUGACUUCGGCA
rnacentral:RNase_P_RNA from 1 species